AUGAAAAGCACUUUGAAAAGAGGGUGAGAAGAACCUGAAACCGUCAUGGGGGAAGCGGAUUGCGUUAAACCGGUGGCUGCGUGCGUGUUCAGCCCUUUUGGGUGCAUUGGCGCGCGCGGUUACCCGCCGUGGGCUUUCGGUGGGCGAUUUUGGUCCACUGGGGGCUGAGGGAUCCCUUUUAUAGGUGAGGACGGCGGGGUGAUGACGCGAUACGACCCGUCUUGAAACACGGACCAAGGAGUCUAGCGCGCCUGCGAGUCGAAGGGUGGUGAAACCUGGAGGCGCAGUGAAAGCAAAUUAUGAAACAUUAACAAGUUGAGGCGGCAUAAGGUCGUUGACCUUAAGUCUGACCCGGAGCAGUUGCGCUGGGACCCGAAAGAUGGUGAACUAUGCCGGAGUAGGGCAAAGCCAGAGGAAACUCUGGUGGAGGCUCGUAGCGGUGCUGACGUGCAAAUCGCUCGUCCAACUUGGGUAUAGGGGCGAAAGACUAAUCGAACCAUCUAGUAGCUGGUUCCCUCCGAAGUUUCUCUCAGGAUAGCGGGCCGACAAUUGUGUUGUUUUGUGC
rnacentral:rRNA from 1 species